rnacentral:rRNA from 1 species
AGACGUUGGCGGCGUGGAUUAGGCAUGCAAGUCGAACGAGAACCCGCACGGAUUGGGGACAGCGGCGAACGGGGUAGGAUCACCUCGGUGACGUACCCCCGGGUCGGGGAUAGCGGCGGGAAACUGCCGGUAAUACCCGAUUAAUCUUCCCAAGCUCUCGACGGCAGGGGAAGCAAAGGUGUGAUUCCGUCCGGGGAGCGGCUGAGGUCGUAUUAGCUAGUUGGUAAGGUAACGGCUUACCAAGGCGAUGCGAUGAUGCGUAGGGGGUGUGAGAGCAUGGCCCCCACCACUGGCACUGAGACACUGGCCAGACACCUACGGGUGGCUGCAGUCGAGAAUCUUCGGCAAUGGGCGCAAGCCUGACCGAGCGACGCCGCGUGCGGGAUGAAGGUCUUCGGAUUGUGAACCGCUGUCGGAGGGGAUGAAAUGCAUGGGGGUACUCCCCUGUGUUUGACAGAGCCUCGGAGGAAGCACGGGCUAAGUUCGUGCCAGCAGCCGCGG